rnacentral:rRNA from 1 species
CUCCUACGGGAGGCAGCAGUAAGGAGUAUUGGUCAAUGGACGCAAGUCUGAACCAGCCAUGCCGCGUGCAGGAUGAAGGUCCUACGGAUCGUAAACUGCUUUUGUACGGGAAAAAAACCCCGGGUUUCUACCCGGGUUGAUGGUACCGUAAGAAUAAGGAUCGGCUAACUCCGUGCCAGCAGCCGCGUAUC